GCACCCGUGCCGGGCAGACGCGUCGCCACUCGGCGACAAGCGCCCUAGCUGGACGCGCUGAAGCGGCGCCUGGACACCAAUGGCGACGCGGGGGGGGGAGGAAGAGGAGGGUGGUGAUGUUGAUGGUGGCGGCGGCGGCAACUAAACCGUCCGGCUCGCGCUCCUACUUUUCUCUUCCGUCUGUGCCAGGCCGCUUCAGGGAAACUUUACCUGGGCAUCGCCUCGCGUCUGCCCGGGAAGACACAGGGCGAAGCAUUUCCUGCGCUUGCCCGCUCGCUUUGUCGCUACUUCGAAAGGGACCGCCGGUUGACGUUUGGGGCUCGAGAAAGAGAACCCACGAGGCGAAAGCGCGCCUUCUUAGGGUGGGGGCAGUCUCUGCUGGGACGUUGCUCCUGUUCUGUGUGCCUGAACUGAGAGGGGAACUCUAGCUUGAUGGAUAGGAGACCCAGCAAGGAGGUGAGCGAUCCUGGGUCUCAAUUGGAGAAAUCCAUUCACUCACAACUCCAGAGGCGGCCUAGCUACUUCUCUCUUCCAGCUGCUUAUAAGGAUAACAAAGCACUACCUGUUCUGAAGAACAAUCUACUUUUUGUCUAAUAUUACUUGUGAAAUGCACCGGAUAGAAGAUUCGAUUCUUGUCAGAAGGGAUUCUUGUGGUCCCUUCCAGCUUGAAGUGCUUUGAAUGCUCUUUAAUCACUAUAAAAGCACCAAGGUCACUUUGCCAGUUGCAUUCCUCAUUAUAGCUGUAACAAAAACAGAAGAAGCAAACAGAAUGGAGGGGGGGAAAUCAACAAGGCAGGAUCUUGGUCUUCUCUGGGGGCCAGUUUGUGGAUUAAGCCACCUGGUUUGAAGUGGCUACCAGUUUCUCUGCAAGAAAUUAAAAGGAUCCUCUUCUUAGCAAGAGAGAUCUGUAGCUUUUCUUCUUCUGUCCUAUUCCACAAGGUCAGGUCUUUUUGUGCUGAUGGCUGUGAAACAUUUAGGAGUUGAAGAUUGAUUAGAGGGCACCAGCAUGAAGUAUAAAUCCUUGCACACUGGCUGGACAGGCAACCAUUGCAAUUAAAUCAAUAGCUUCUUAUUCAACACUACCCCAUUUGGGGUGAUUUUGUGCUGGCUUAGCUAAUGCAGAUGAUAGUCUAGUUGGCAUGGUUGGUCAUGUGAGUAAUCUCUAGAGUUGAUCCAAACUGAAUAAGAGUCAGCCUGAUAUCUCUGCAAAAAGCAAACAUGAGUUUUGGCUGCCUCAGUAGAAUUAUAAUUCCAACUUGCUCUGCAAUGGUCAGAGAGAAGCCUAUAAAUACCACACUGUCAGAUUCAGACAAACAAAUAUAGGUUAAAAGGAGGCCACUGAGGACAGUCAGAGAAAGGAAACAAAAGUCAGUGCCAGGAGAAGGCUAUGUAAGUCCUCAAAAAAACCUAAUUCAAGAGAAGAGAAACCAAACAUUCCUGAUCCUCCACCAAGAGUGGCAUGGCCAAUCUUCAGUGGCCCCUGCCUUGCCCCUCCAAAGAUUACACAGAGGCAUCAGACAUCAAAAUGUCAAAAACUAGAAGGGACCUUCGAGAUUACCUAAUCCAAUUCCUUUUCUCACUACAGAAUCCAUAAUGGCUUCUCUGGUAGAUGACCAUCCAUUGUUGUCUGAAGCUUUCUAGUGAAAAGGACACAUUACAUCAUGUAACAACCUAUUGCACUGGAGGUCAAAAUCAGUCCUCAUGUCCAGCUUUUAUUUUUAGUCCACUGGCUCUAUACUUUGGUGCAAUAAAGAUUUAUAUCUAGUCCUUCUUCUGUGUGGAAGUCUUAUAAACCACAACCGUAUCUCCUCUCGGUUCUCCCUUCAGUGGUAGGUAAAAUGAGGACCCAGAUUGUUGGGGGCAAUGUAAAUAUAUAUAUACAUUGCUUACUGGUGUACACCGCUUAGAGAGUGCUUGCACUUAAAGCAGUAUAUAACUCUCAUAAAUAAAUAAAUAUACCCUGACUCCUUAGGUGGUCCUCCUGAGGCUUGGUCUCCCGACUCCCAUCUUAGUGGCUCUUCUUUGAAUUUACUAUAAUUUGUCAGUGUACAUUUUUAACAUCGGUUGUCAGAAGAGGAAACAAUACUUCUAAAUAGAUCUGACAAAGGCAGAGUAAAGUAGAACAAUGAGCCAUUCCUAUGAUCUGGAGUCUAAUGCUUUUGUUAGUGCACCCCACUAGUGUGUGUGUGUGUGUGUGUGUGUGUGUUUAGCUUUUACAAAUUCAUACUGACCUGUUUAAUUUCUUUCAAUUGCCUUUUUUGUGUGGAUUGUUUGUAACUGUGCCUUCAGUGAGUCAUUUUAUAGGAUUUUCCAUCCUUCUGGAAUGUUUUUUUGCUUAAGGAUUUGAAGCGAAUGGAGCCAAGUCCACUCUACCCUUCUGUUGGAAUUCUUCAGGAUCUACUCUUCUGAAAUUCAAUAGGCAAGUCUUCUCAGUUGCUCCUCUGGAUAUCAUACAUCAGAUGAUAACAUUGGGUGGGUUUUGAUUGGUACUUCCUUUUUUUAGGUUUGAUGAUCUCUUGAACACCACCUAGAGUCAUGCUGUCUGAGUUGGGCAGCCAAAUAAAUGCUCUAAAUUAAUAUAAAUAAAUAGCUACCAUCAUUUUUCCCCAAGGUGCCAGUCACUCUCAUUUCUUCAAUCAAUUCCCCUUGAUUAGGUCCAGGCUAGCAGAACCCUUUGUCCUUUCUUUCACCUUCCUACAAAUGAAGUUGUCAGUAAGAACAGGCAAGAUUUAUUUGUACUCUAUUUCAAGAUUUCUAGCUGAUAUCAAGGUAAUUGAAUUUCCCCAUUAUCACUAUUGUAUGUCUUUUUCAAGUUCUGGUCAUGUGAUGCAGGAAAAAAACCUCAUCUGUAUCAUUUGCCCGCCUGAGUAAUCUCUAAUAAACUCCCACAGUGGUA